rnacentral:sRNA from 1 species
UCAGUGCUGGAAUGACUACAACUUGCUU